rnacentral:tRNA from 1 species
CGCGGGAUGGAGCAGUUCGGUAGCUCGUCGGGCUCAUACCCCGAAGGUCGGUGGUUCACAGCCGCCUCCCGCAA